rnacentral:rRNA from 1 species
UUCCGGUUGAUCCUGCCGGAGGCUACCGCUAUUGGAGUUCGAUUAAGCCAUGCGAGUCGCGAGUCUUAGGGACUCGGCAUACGGCUCAGUAACGCGUAGUCAACCUACCCUAUGGACGGGAAUAACCUCGGGAAACUGAGUAUAAUGCCCGAUAGAACAUUAUGCCUGGAAUGGUUUAUGUUCCAAAUGAUUUAUCGCCGUAGGAUGGGACUGCGGCCUAUCAGUUUGUUGGUGAGGUAAUGGCCCACCAAGACUAUUACAGGUACGGGCUCUGAGAGGAGUAGCCCGGAGAUGGGUACUGAGACAAGGACCCAGGCCCUAUGGGGCGCAGCAGGCGAGAAAACUUUGCAAUGUGCGAAAGCACGACAAGGUUAAUCCGAGUGAUUUCUGCUAAAGAAAUCUUUUGCAAGUCAUAAAACCACUAGUGAAUAAGGGGUGGGCAAGUUCUGGUGUCAGCCGCCGCGGUAAAACCAGCACCUCAAGUGGUCAGGAGGAUUAUUGGGCCUAAAGCAUCCGUAGCCGGCUCUGUAAGUUUUCGGUUAAAUCCAUGUGCUCAACGCAUGGGCUGCCGAAAAUACUGCAUAGCUAGGGAGUGGGAGAGGUAGACGGUACUCAGUAGGAAGGGGUAAAAUCCUUUGAUCUAUUGAUGACCACCUGUGGCGAAGGCGGUCUACCAGAACACGUUCGACGGUGAGGGAUGAAAGCUGGGGGAGCAAACCGGAUUAGAUACCCGGGUAGUCCCAGCUGUAAACGAUGCAGACUCGAUGAUGCAUUGGCAUAUAGCCAGUGCAGUGUCGCAGGGAAGCCGUUAAGUCUGCCGCCUGGGAAGUACGUACGCAAGUAUGAAACUUAAAGGAAUUGGCGGGGGAGCACCACAAGGGGUGAAGCCUGCGGUUCAAUUGGAGUCAACGCCGGG